rnacentral:rRNA from 1 species
AGCGAACGCUGGCGGCGUGCCUAACACAUGCAAGUCGAACGUGAAAGGGGGCAACCCUGAGUAAAGUGGCGUACGGGUGAGUAACGCGUAGGUCAUCUACCCCAGAGUCUGGAAUAACCUGCCGAAAGGCGGGCUAAUACUGGAUAGAGCGACGGAAUCCGUAAUUGGGUUUUUCGGGAAAGGGAGCUCGUAAGAGCCCUCGCUUUGGGAUGAGCCUGCGUCUCAUUAGCUAGUUGGUAGGGUAAUGGCCUACCAAGGCUUUGAUGGGUAGCUGGUC